rnacentral:rRNA from 1 species
GAUUAACGCUAGCGGCAGGCCUAAUACAUGCAAGUCGAACGGCAGCACGGGUAGCAAUACCUGGUGGCGAGUGGCGCACGGGUGCGUAACGCGUAUGCAACCUACCUUUAACUGGAGGAUAGCCCCGAGAAAUCGGGAUUAAUACUUCAUAACAUUAUGAUAUGGCAUCAUAUUAUAAUUAAAGCUCCGGCGGUUUUAGAUGGGCAUGCGUGACAUUAGUUUGUUGGUGAGGUAACGGCUCACCAAGACUACGAUGUCUAGGGGUUCUGAGAGGAUUUUCCCCCACACUGGUACUGAGACACGGACCAGACACCUACGGGUGGCAG